UACGUAGGGUGCAAGCGUUGUCCGGAAUUAUUGGGCGUAAAGAGCUCGUAGGCGGUCUGUCGCGUCGGCUGUGAAAACCUGGGGCUCAACCCCGGGCCUGCAGCCGAUACGGGCAGACUAGAAUUCGGUAGGGGAGACUGGAAUUCCUGGUGUAGCGGUGAAAUGCGCAGAUAUCAGGAGGAACACUGGUGGCGAAGGCGGGUCUCUGGGCCGAUAUUGACGCUGAGGAGCGAAAGCGUGGGGAGCGAACAGG
rnacentral:rRNA from 1 species